AAGUCGUAACAAGGUUUCCGUAGGUGAACCUGCGGAAGGAUCAUUGACACGUAUCCUUCCCCCGUCUACGUGAGAACAUUGGAACAGUUACAAUCGAGCGGUAGUUUCAUAGGCAUUGUUUCCCCAAGCAGUCAGUGUCUGAAAGUGUCACUGAUUGUGCAAGGAUAGCGCUUCAACGAUUCCUGUAGACCGUACACUCGGGCAGGAGCUAUGCCAAAGGGUCCCCAUGCCCCCUUAUAACCCCACAGUUUAAUGUGAAGCUCAAUGUAAUACAUUGGGUAAAAAAACCGAACAACUGUUAACAAUGGAUAUCUUGGUUCUC
rnacentral:misc_RNA from 1 species